ensembl:lncRNA
GGGAGCCGCGGGCGGGGCCCGCCCCAAAGCCUCUUAAGCUCCUCCGGAGGCUGCCGGGAGCCACGGGGGAGUUUCUGCGGUUGUGGAUAGGAGACGGAGUGAGUUCUGUUUCUUUGUCGGGCCCUGACGCUGCUGAGGCUGAGAAGCGGCUGAGCGAGGGCUGCAGCAGAGGCUCUCAUCGGCCCGAAGCAGUGAGCUCGUGGAAGCGGUGAGUGUUUGAGAGUCGCUCGGUAAGAUCUCUCGUGCUGGGGCUCCUGUAGGGUUGCUGCUCGACUGCCUCUGUCUUUGGGAUCGGCACGGCGCCGCCGCUGGGCUCCCGUGUGGCUUUUUAGUAGGACCGGCACGGGGCCUCCGCCCGAGACCGAGCACGAUCCCGGG